rnacentral:tRNA from 1 species
GCUAGAAUGGUGUAGUGGUUUGAGUGUUGGACUAGGACUUUGGAGAUCAGGGUUCGAUUCCUCGUUCAGCC